UAGCAGGUGGCUCACUGUAAUUUUAUGGGCUUCGUGUGAUACCGUUUUGAGGCCCCAUGUUGAAGGACAGUGGUCCCACUGAGUAUAAGAAAGGUGUAUGAGCAUUACAAACAGAGUAGCGGGACAACGUAGCGUCUGAGGCCGAAAUGGGUCCCCUAAUCGGACUGAAUGGUGCGGUUGGGUGCCAACGGUCUGGAGGUCUUCCUGUAGCUCCAGAGUAGCGGGACAACGUCGCGUCUGAGUCCGAAAUGGGUCCCGUAAUCGGGCUGAGUGGUGCGGUUGGGUGCCAACGGUCUGGAGGUCUUCCCGGAGCUCCAGAGUAGCGGGACAACUUCGCGUCUGAGUCCGAAACGGGUCCCCUAAUCGGACUAAGUGGUGCGGUUGGUUGCCAACGGUCUGGAGGUCCUGAGAAUCAUCCAGGGGAGCGGGACCACUUGGUUUCUGGGGCCGAAUCGGGUCCCCUUGUCGGACUGGAUGGUGCAGUUGGUGGCCAACAGUCUGGAGGUCUUCCUGAGGCUCCAGAGGAGGGUAACUCUGUGAGUCUGAGUCCGAGAUGAGUCCCCUAAUCGGACUGAAUGGUGCAGUUUCAGUACGCCGUGGACCACUUUGGUCUGCCAUCGUCAGUCGCUACUCGCUACUGUCUGCCGUGGAAUCAAAACAAACCCUCUAGUUGAGGACGCGCCUUGAUGACGCGGGCCCGAAUGCGCCACAAGAAGCAGACGGAAAACCUUAUAUAUCCAUGCAGCAAACAGACAGGUCUGUCGGCCAAUAAGGUCAUUCG
ensembl:lncRNA